AUUGAACGCUGGCGGCAGGCCUAACACAUGCAAGUCGAGCGAGCGGCGGACGGGUGAGUAAUGUAUGGGGACUGCCCGAUAGAGGGGGAUAACUACUGGAAACGGUGGCUAAUACCGCAUACUAUCGGAUAACCCAUAUGGGAUUAGCUAGUAGGAGGGUUAAAGGCUCACCUAGGCGACGAUCUCUAGCUGGUCAGAGAGGAUGAUCAGCCACAGUGGGACUGAGACACGGACCAUACUCCUACGGAGGCAGCAGUGGGGAAUAUUGCACAAUGGGCGCAAGCCUGAUGCAGCCAUGCCGCGUGUAUGAAGAAGGCCUUAGGGGUGUAAAGUACUUUCAGCGGGGAGGCGUUACCCGCAGAAGAAGCACCGGCUAACUCCGUGCUAGCAGCCGCGGUAAUUC
rnacentral:rRNA from 1 species